UUUCCGUAGGUGAACCGGCGGAAGGAUCAUUAUUGUAUAACCGAGGUGCGAGGGCUGUCGCUGACCCGAAAGGUCGUGCACGCCCGAGUGCCCUCACACACAUCCAUCUCACCCCUAUGUGCACCACCGCGUGGGUCCCCCUUUGGCUUGUUCGGAGGGGGGCUUACGUUUUCACACAAACUUUGUAUGCAGUGUAGAAUGUAUUUUUUGUUCUUGCGAUCACGCAAUCAAUACAACUUUCAACAACGGAUCUCUUGGCUCUC
rnacentral:misc_RNA from 1 species